rnacentral:rRNA from 1 species
GACAGAGGGGGCAAGCGUUGCUCGGAAUCACUGGGCGUAAAGGGCGCGUAGGCGGGACGCCAAGUCGGUCGUGAAAUCUCCGGGCUCAACCCGGAGGAGUCGGCCGAAACUGGUGUUCUUGAGGGAGGCAGAGGAGUCUGGAAUUCCCGGUGUAGCGGUGAAAUGUGUAGAGAUCGGGAGGAACACCGGUGGCGAAGGCGGGACUCUGGGCCUACCCUGACGCUGAGGCGCGAAGGCGUGGGGAGCAAACAGG